rnacentral:tRNA from 1 species
GCCUGGGUGGCUCAGUGGUUGAGCAUCUGCCUUUAGCUCAGGUGGUGAUGCAAGGGUCCUGGGAUCGAGUCCCACAUCAGGCU